CUAAAAAGAUGUUCCACAGUUCAAGAGUAUGUCUCUCAAUAUUUAAGAGAAUUUCACAUAUUGUUCAUUUUAUCCCCUUCAGAUGGCUUUUGGGGUUGUGGAAAAUUCUGCCUCCUCUUUCUGCCAUACUGGAACUGGCAAGAUUUCUCAAAUCAGCAGGCUGCAGCUGGUGCUUAGAGGCUUAUUCACUGCACAAAAGCCAUGGUCACGGGUACCUCCAGGCUCAUAUCCUCAUUUCCAGAGAAGAAGGGGGCUCUUCUCUCUCAGCCCCAAAUGGAAUCCCUGGAGAAAGACUCGGGAGAGUCCAGCGUGGCCCCAAGUUUACCCUUCAACCAGCUGUGGUGGUCAGAGCUUAGCGAGGGCUUGAUCCCUCUGAACUGGAUCACAUGAUGACAGCAAGGUAAGAGAGUAGAUAGAAAAAUGGAUGCAGGUAACACAAGCACAGCUGUGGGGAGGAAUCUUGUAAGGCAGGCAACUAGGUUCUGUCUCUUCUUGAAAUAGAGGAAUGAACUGCUAACGACAACUUCAAAUAGCAGCUGCUGGUCCAUAGAGAAUGGCAAUAACGUUUGACAUGGAGACCUGCUGCUGCUGCUGCUAAGUCGCUUCAGUCGUGUCUGACUCUCUGUGACCCCAUAGACGGCAGCCCACCAGGCUCCGCCGUCCCUGGGAUUCUCCAGGCAAGAACACUGGAGUAGGUUGCCAUUUCCUUCUCCAAUGCAUGAAAGUGAAAAGUGAAAGUGAAGUCGCUCGGUCAUGUCCGACUCUUAGUGUCCCCAUGGACUGCAGCCCACCAGGCUCCUCCACCCAUGGGAUUUUCCAGGCAAGAGUACUAGAGUGGGUUGCCAUUGCCUUCUCCCCAUGGAGACCUAGAGUCCUCCAAAUACACACCUAGUUGCAGCAGAACUUUCUUUUUUUGGUCACCAAACUGUCAUUUAAAGGAGUAGAAAACAGAUCUUACAGAUAAUCAAAGCUGCCUGAUUCAGCAUUGAAAUGUGCCCACUUAAAAGUCUGUUUGCUACAUGUUUUGAAAGUGCUGAUGAGCUAUCCAUGCCUGAGCAGGUUCCCUGAAUGUCUGAAGUAGUGCAGUGGUUCUCAAGGUGGGGGGUUCCAAGCCAGCAUCACCUGGGAACUCACUAGAAAUACA
rnacentral:lncRNA from 1 species